AUUGAACGCUGGCGGCAUGCCUUACACAUGCAAGUCGAACGGUAACAGGUUAAGCUGACGAGUGGCGAACGGGUGAGUAAUAUAUCGGAACGUGCCCAGUCGUGGGGGAUAACGCAGCGAAAGCUGUGCUAAUACCGCAUACGAUCUACGGAUGAAAGCGGGGGAUCGCAAGACCUCGCGCGAUUGGAGCGGCCGAUAGCAGAUUAGCUAGUUGGUGAGGUAAAGGCUUACCAAGGCUACGAUCUGUAGCUGGUGGGAGAGGACGACCAGCCACACGGGAACUGAGACACGGUCCAGACUCCUACUGGAGGCAGCAGUGGGGAAUUUUGGACAAUGGGCGCAAGCCUGAUCCAGCAAUGCCGCGUGCAGGAUGAAGGCCUUCGGGUUGUAAACUGCUUUUGUGCGGAGCGAAACGGCUUACUCUAAUACAGUGAGCUAAUGACGGUACCGUAAGAAUAAGCACCGGCUAACUACGUGCCAGCAGCCGCUGUAAAAC
rnacentral:rRNA from 1 species